AGGAUGAACGCUGGCGGCGUGCUUAGUACAUGCAAGUCGAGCGAGGACCACUUGGUGGCAACACCGGGUGGCUCCUAGCGGCGAACGGGUGAGUAACACGUGGGCAACCUACCCCCGACUCUGGGAUAAGCCCGGGAAACUGGGUCUAAUACCGGAUACGAACCUCCUCCGCAUGGUGGAGGUUGGAAAGGGUCUCCGGUUGGGGAUGGGCCCGCGGCCUAUCAGCUUGUUGGCGGGUGACGGCCCACCAAGGCGACGACGGGUAGCCGGCCUGAGAGGGUGAACGGCCACACUGGGACUGAGACACGGCCCAGACUCCUACGGGAGGCAGCAGUAGGGAAUCUUGGACAAUGGGCGAAAGCCUGAUCCAGCAAUGCCGCGUGAGUGAUGAAGGCCUUAGGGUUGUAAAGCUCUUUUACCCGGGAUGAUAAUGACAGUACCGGGAGAAUAAGCUCCGGCUAACUCCGUGCCAGCAGCCGC
rnacentral:rRNA from 1 species